AUAAAAUGUGAACUGCAAGUUAAAUAGGAAAAUAUUAUUUCCACUAUAUUCCUAUUGUAUUGAUAUAAGAUUGUUAGGUUAUAACAUUCUCACACAUAACCUAACAAUCGAGUUAGUUAACAAAAUCAAAUUACCGAAAUCGAGCUCGAUUUUUUCUUAUUGAAGGAAAGUAUAAUAGGCGAAUAUCCAAAUUUUAUAAAUAAGAAUAAAUAAGAAUAAAUAAGAAUUAAUAAUAAUUAAUAAAAUAAAUAAGAAUAAAUAAGAAAUACAUGGAUAUGAUGGCGAGCACGUUUGUAAGGAGAGAGAACUCCGAUGUUUCCUUAUCGAAAUGCGAAAGAAGACUGGAUCGAUAAAUGUCAAAGUAGGGUCGUUUGUAUUUGUUGAUAUUAAAUGUAGUCUGCGAUCUUAUGCGAGGGUGAAAAAUAUUAAAAAUCAUAAAAAACUUA